CUAGGGGCUGGCUGUAUUUAACUAAGCCACGCCCCUUUUUAACUCCCACCUCGAGGAGGUCCCCAAAGCCGACCCAAUGACCAGACAAACACGGAAACAGGGAGACUACAGCCACGGGUAAACAGGGACAGAACAACAGGGGUGCCAACCACCGUCAACGGGGAAAGAGGGAAACGUCAGGCUCCCGCCUGGACCCUGCUAGCCGUGGCGCCCUCCUUCUUCUCUCCUGGAGGCAGACAAUUUUUGGUGUGACUGGUAGAGGUCUUUCCCACUGUCCGUGCCCAAUGGUUCACUCUCGCCUUCUUCUCUCUCCACAGGCGGCCACUAGGACAACAAAGACACUGUUACUGGACUUUGAAUGUUUCUCACCGGCUCCCUGCUUACAGCUUUCUGGGUAAGUAUCACGUUCACCGUCGGUUCCUCAAUGAUUCACUCUCGUUUUCCUCUCUCUCUCCACAGGUGAUCGCUAGGACACAGAAACACUGUUACUGAACUUUGUAUGUUUCUCACCGGCUCCGCUGCUUACAGCUUUCUGGGUAAGUAUCACGUUCACAGUCGGCUCUUUACUGAUCCACUCUCGUUUUCCUCUCUCUCUCUCCACAGGUGAUCGCUAGGACACAGAAACACUGCUACUGGACUUUGAAUGUUUCUCACCGGCUCCGCUGCUUACAGCUUUCUGGGUAAGUAUCACGUUCACAGUCGGCUCUUUACUGAUUCACUCUCGUUUUCCUCUCUCUCUCCACAGGUGAUCGCUAGGACACAGAAACACUGUUACUGGACUUGAAUGUUUCUCACCGGCUCCGCUGCUUACAGCUUUCUGGGUCAGCAGGGGGGCGAAGGUCACACACCACCUCGCCGGGUCGAGCGCUGCCCUAUCCCCACUGUCCGUAGGCCGAUCGAAUCCCGGAUAGGGGCGCCCUUUCGUGGAGACCACGGGGGCGGCGGACCCUUUCGCCUCCGACUCUGCGAUAAUACAAACACAGCACACAGCGUAUGAUGGCAAUGAGGUCUGAGGUCGUUGGCCCCUCCGUCCUCCUUCCAGGGAAGAAAAUGGAUGGUGCGGGGCUUCUCUGACAAGACACACAGCAACCCACAGCAAAUACACAGCACCACUCU